CAAGGCCAAGAGCGGGCUUGAGGGUGGGAGCCCAAAGGUGACCGAUAGGGAAGAACAGGUGAGGAGGAAAAGCCUGGCCCCCAGGCUCCUCUUAGAAGGAUCAAGGACAAGUCAAGUCGUGGAGAAGGAUCCUAAGAGUUAAGCCUCUGCCGGAUGGAGCCGAGCACUGUUCUGGGCACUGGACCUACUCAGUUCCCGCCUGCAGAAGCCCUUCUGGGGAGGACUGUGUCCUCACUUUAGAUCCUAGGAGCAGAGAACUCAGCCCAUGGGAAAAGAAGAGACAAACAGACACCUGGAUGGAGAGCAGGCUCACACAGACAGUACUCCCUUGGGCUCAAAGGACAGCACGGAAGGGCAGUCAGGACAGAAGCUAUAAGUCAAGGAAGGGCAUUCUGGGCACACAGCAAACUGGCAGCGGCCCACGGCGAGCUAAAAUGGGCAGAUCAGCACCAUGGACAGGGCCAGCAUCUCCCUGGGUCCUCCUCCUGCCCCCACCUCUCAGGCCCUGGGCCUUUUUGGCAAGCACCAAACACUGCAGUAGCUGCCAGUGCCAAAUUUUGGCCUCUUCACCCCCCCCAACCCCCACUGCCUGACCCUUGGUGGCUCUGUUUGUGUCAUCGCUUUCUCUUCUCCCCGGACACGAGUUGAGGCCAGACACAUGGAUAACAGAAGGAGCUGGGAGGAGCGUGGCUUUGGACUCCGUGUCAUUCCUCCUCCUCCUCCUCCUCCUCCCGGGCCACGCUCCCCCACCAUCGCUUUCGGCUAAGCCGUGCUCAGCUGGGAUCCCUCAGUUCCCGCUUCUCCCAGCCUUCUUCAUUCCUAGUUUGUGGCGGUUGAGUUUUCUUCCUCCCAGGACACCAGGGAGGUCAUCCUGAGGUAAGCCAGUGCUUGGGGAUGGCUGACAGUGAGGGUCCCCCCCUGGGGAGGGAGGGGAGGAACCCAUGAGGGCCAAAGGAGGCCUGCACUCCUUCGGCACCCAGUCAGCCUGCAGCUCAUGCCUUCAGGCACUGGCCCCACAGUGACCCCAAGCUCCCUACCCCCCAGGCCACAGUCCCAGUUUCCCCUGAUUGUCACUACGAUCCUCUUCCUGAUGGCCCUAUUCUAGGCAUGUGCAAGUCUCACUGUCUACUUCUCUGUGCCCUGCCUCCCCCAAACCCUAGCCCUGAAAGCCACGGUCUUGCCCCUCGGCUCGUUCCCUGGGUAUCUUGUGGGACUGUUUGGUCACAGGCUGGCCUGCUUUAGAGGAUGGGAGGGCGCUAAAGGGAAGCAAGAAGACCAAGCUGAGUAGUAGACCAGAUGGCUGGGUUUCCAUGAGGUCUCCAGGGAAGGUGAGGUUCAAGGAGGGAAGGAAGCAGGGAGGUAAACCUACCCACUGCUACAGGGCCCAGGGAGGUGCUGGGGUCCCUUCCCCAUGAAGCCUGUAGGGGAGAGGGAGGCUGAACUCUCGGAGGGCAUGCCAUUUACCUGGCGGAGACAAUGACCGCGUCGGCCUCCUCCCAGCGCAGCUGGGGCAGCCUCUGGAGCGUGUUCUUGGACAGGAGGAAGAGUCCGGGGAACACCACCCCCCCAGCCACCAUUGGGCUCGGAGCAGCCGUCCCAGAACUCCGGAGGCUGAGGAAGAAGGAUCACAAGUUGGAGAACAUCGUGAGCUACACAGCAAGACCCUGUCUCAAAAUGAACAAAAACAGGUCUGGAAAGAUGGCCCAGUGACUUGGUGUCCUGACUGCUCUUGUAGAGGACGUGGGUUUGAUUCCCAGCACCCUCGGGGUUUCCCAACCCUCUGUAACUUCAGUUCCAGGGACGCGCUGCCCUCUUCUGGCCUCCUCGGGCACUGCAUGCACAUGCCGGCAAAACACCCAUACACACACACACACACACACACACACACACAAUUUUUUUUUUUUGAGACAGUCUUUCUGUGUAAUCUGGCUGUCUUGGAACUUGCUGUAUGGAUAAGGCUGGCCUCGAAAUUAUAGAGAUCUGCCUGCCUCUGCCUCCUAGUGCUGGGAGUAGAGAAUCUUAAAUAAAAUAAAAUAAAAUA